rnacentral:rRNA from 1 species
CCCUAAAAUCCUACCCGGAAACGAGGAGCAGACAUCAGGCACACAACCGUAGCCCACGACGUCUUGCACAGCCACACCCCCAAGGGAUCUCAGCAGUAAUAAACAUUAGGCAAUAAGUGUAAACUUGACCUAGUUACGGUUAUAAGAGGGCCGGUAAACACUCGUGCCAGCCACCGCGGUCAAACGAGGUUGUGCCCGAGCAGAUGACCAACGGCGUAAAGAGUGGUUAGGGAAGCCCACAACUAAAGCUGAAUGCCCACAAAGCCGUGAUACGCAUCCGAUGGCAUGAAACCCCACCACGAAAGUGACUUUAACCCAACCCGAACCCACGACAGCUAGGACACAAACUGGGAUUAGAUACCCCACUAUGCCUAGCCGUAAACAUUGAUAGAAACACUACAAAUUCUAUCCGCCCGGGUACUACAAGCAUUAGCUUAAAACCCAAAGGACUUGGCGGUGCUUUAGACCCACCUAGAGGAGCCUGUCCUAGAACCGAUACCCCCCGUUCAACCUCACCACUUCUGGCUCAAUAUUCC